GACGAACGCUGGCGGCGUGCUUAACACAUGCAAGUCGAACGGAAAGGCCCUGCUUUUGUGGGGUGCUCGAGUGGCGAACGGGUGAGUAACACGUGAGUAACCUGCCCUUGACUUUGGGAUAACUUCAGGAAACUGGGGCUAAUACCGGAUAGGAGCUCCUGCUGCAUGGUGGGGGUUGGAAAGUUUCGGCGGUUGGGGAUGGACUCGCGGCUUAUCAGCUUGUUGGUGGGGUAGUGACUUACCAAGGCUUUGACGGGUAGCCGGCCUGAGAGGGUGACCGGCCACAUUGGGACUGAGAUACGGCCCAGACUCCUACGGGAGGCAGCAGUGGGGAAUAUUGCACAAUGGGCGGAAGCCUGAUGCAGCAACGCCGCGUGCGGGAUGUCGGCCUUCGGGUUGUAAACCGCUUUCGCCUGUGACGAAGCGUGAGUGGCGGUAAUGGGUAAAGAAGCACCGGCUAACUACGUG
rnacentral:rRNA from 1 species